UGUCAUUAAGUUUCCGUCAUCUCUGAUAUCUACUCCACCGAAUUUUUUUGCUCCGACAAUGUUCAAAAACUAAACCCUAAGUUGUACAUAGGGAACCCAAGGAGAAUAUCAAACGAAUUGUAAGAAUUCAUCCUCUUUCUCUUUUGUUUCCAUCACGUUCAUACUUUCAUCAUCUCUAAUAUUCACAAAAACUAAACCUUAAGGGAACUAGUACAUAGGGAACCCAAUAGGAAAACCAAACGAAUUGUCAAUAUUCAUCUUCUUCCUCCUUUCUUUCCAUCAAAUUGGAGAAGCCACAUCAAUCGAAUAAGAAAAAACCAAAUUUGUAUAUUCAAUCGGAGAAUUUGAUCUAAUAUGAACCACUUAACAAAAACCCAAAACGAAUGCUUGAAAUCACCUUUGAUAACUUUGCAAUUGUUUAACAAUUGGAAAUUGAGAAGUUUAAAAUCUCUUUUUUUCUUCUGAGAUUUUCAAAUUUGGAGAUCUCAAAAACACAUCUCGAUAUCUAAGCCACCACCCUCGAAUCUCAUCAUCGCCGCUGCCAUUGGCACUCAAGAUCUUGCCAUCCUCUUCUUGAUGCUUGUUUCACCGGAGCUAUAUAUAGGCUACCACCCUUGCUUCAAGCAGUGUUCAUUGCCUUCUCAUCAUCGUUAACGGGAAGCCAUGUUGAGAGAUGACAUAUACUCUUGUUUUACCGGAGCACUAAGCGGUUGUCAUCGUCGGAGUUCUUCAUUAUCGUUGAUGGAGCCGAGAUCGAGAGAAAUCAUGUCUCAAUAAGAGAUUAUUCAACAAG
rnacentral:sRNA from 1 species